ensembl:snoRNA
UUAAACAGUUUGACUUUCGUUCUUCUGAGUCUGAUGAAGCCAAACGUUCUGUCCUGAGAGAG